GCGUAUAUUAAAGUUGUUGCAGUUAAAACGCUCGUAGUCGGGUUUCGGGUCGGGCCGAGCGGUCUGCCGAUGGGUAUGCACUGUUUGGCGCGGCCUUCUUUCCGGAGACCGCGGCUACUCUUAACUGAGCGGGCGUGGGAGACGGAUCGUUUACUUUGAAAAAAUCAGAGUGUUUCAAGCAGGCAGCUCGCUCUUGCAUGGUACAGCAUGGGAUGAUUGAAUAGGACUCCGGUGCUAUUUUGUUGGUUUCGAACACCAGGAGUAAUGAUUAACAGGGACAGUCAGGGGCACUCGUAUUCCGUCGAGAGAGGUGAAAUUCUCAGACCAAUGGAAGACGAACCACUGCGAAAGCAUUUGCCAGGGAUGUUUUCACUGA
rnacentral:rRNA from 1 species